CAGGACUUGACAUCCCUGUGACCGGACCGUAACGGGACCUUUCCCUUCGGGGACACAGGAGACAGGUGGUGCAUGGUUGUCGUCAGCUCGUGUCGUGAGAUGUUGGGUUAAGUCCCGCAACGAGCGCAACCCUUGUCUUUAGUUGCCAGCAAGUAAAGUUGGGCACUCUAGAGAGACUGCCGGGGAUAACUCGGAGGAAGGUGGGGAUGACGUCAAAUCAUCAUGCCCCUUAUGUUCUGGGCUACACACGUGCUACAAUGGCUGGUACAACGGGAAGCGAAAGAGUAAUCUGGAGCAAAUCCUAAAAGCCAGUCUCAGUUCGGAUUGUGGGCUGCAACUCGCCCACAUGAAGUCGGAGUUGCUAGUAAUCGCGGAUCAGAAUGUCGCGGUGAAUGCGUUCCC
rnacentral:rRNA from 1 species